UACGUAGGGUGCAGGCGUUAAUCGGAAUUACUGGGCGUAAAGCGUGCGCAGGCGGUUUGCUAAGACAGGUGUGAAAUCCCCGGGCUCAACCUGGGAACUGCAUUUGUGACUGCAUCGCUGGAGUGCGGCAGAGGGGGAUGGAAUUCCGCGUGUAGCAGUGAAAUGCGUAGAUAUGCGGAGGAACACCGAUGGCGAAGGCAAUCCCCUGGGCCUGCACUGACGCUCAUGCACGAAAGCGUGGGGAGCAAACAGG
rnacentral:rRNA from 1 species